CCCCCCUCACCCUUUUCUAACUGUCUGUGGGAAGGCGCUGUAAAAUGUCGUGAGAUACGCCGCCGCUUUACGGCUGCCUCUUCCGGACGCUAGCUCCGGAGCUCCCACCGCUGUGAGCCGUGUCUUCAAACGAGUCGGGUCUGCUGAGAGUGAGGGACCUGGUUCGUCGCAAUCGUCUCCACUGCGCCUGUUCCGGCCCUUGGCGAUGUGAGCUGGUGGAGGCAGCGUGCCCCCUGGCCCGGGAUUGAGACCGGCGGCAGGUGCCUGUGAAGCGGGCGGGUGCUGGGGGCCAGCAGGAUGGAGGAAAGCAUGGAAGAGGAGGAGGGGGGCAGUUAUGAGGCGAUGAUGGACGACCAGAACCACAACAACUGGGAGGCCGCAGUGGACGGCUUCCGGCAUCCCCCACCACCUCCGCCGCCCCCCUCGUCGAUUCCAGUCUCUGCUCGAGAACCUCCGGGGGGGCAGCUGCUGGCAGUGCCCGCGGUCUCCGUGGACAGGAAGGGACCCAAGGAGGGGCUCCCUAUGGGGCCGCCGCCACCGCCGGAGGCCAAUGGGGUGAUCAUGAUGUUGAAGAGCUGCGACGCGGCGGCUGCCGUGGCCAAGGCGGCCCCCGCCCCCACCGCCAGCUCCACUAUCAACAUCAACACCUCCACCUCCAAGUUCUUAAUGAAUGUUAUAACUAUUGAAGAUUACAAGAGCACAUACUGGCCAAAAUUGGACGGUGCCAUAGAUCAGCUUUUAACCCAGAGUCCUGGUGACUAUAUCCCCAUAUCCUAUGAACAGAUAUACAGUUGUGUAUAUAAAUGUGUAUGCCAGCAGCACUCGGAACAGAUGUAUAGUGAUCUGAUUAAAAAGAUAACUAAUCACUUAGAGAGAGUCUCAAAGGAGCUGCAGGCCAGCCCUCCAGAUCUCUAUAUUGAAAGAUUUAAUAUAGCUCUUGGGCAAUACAUGGGAGCAUUGCAGAGCAUCGUGCCUCUUUUCAUAUACAUGAAUAAGUUUUACAUCGAAACCAAGCUUAACAGAGACUUAAAAGAUGACCUUAUAAAGCUGUUUACGGAGCAUGUUGCAGAAAAGCACAUUUACAGCCUAAUGCCUUUACUUAUAGAAGCCCAGUCAACACCAUUUCAGGUCACACCUUCAACUAUGGCAAAUAUUGUGAAAGGCCUAUAUACUCUCAGACCAGAGUGGGUUCAGAUGGCUCCAAAUUUAUUUUCUAAAUUUAUUCCAAACAUUCUCCCUCCGGCCAUGGAAUCUGAACUUUCUGAAUAUGCUGCUCAAGAUCAGAAACUUCAAAGAGAACUUAUACAGAAUGGUUUUACGAGAGGUGACCAGUCCCGGAAGAGAGCUGGGGAUGAGUUGGCUUAUAACAGCUCAUCAGCAUGUGCAAGUUCCAGGGGGUACAGAUAGUGAAUGUAUUGAAGUGCUUUCCUGAAAAGAGGACACACUGGAACUGCAGAGACUUUUCAGAGCACAGCGGGGGCCUGCAGACACUCAGGAGCUCUGUCACAAAGCUGUUCUUAGAAGAGGAUGUUGGACUUCUUACUUUGCCAUGCAUUUCAGGAGAAAUUAUUCAAAUGUGAUGUUGUGAGGAGCUGUGGAAUAAACAGGAAUGCUUAUGAAUAAUUUGGAGGUCAAGGACUGGCAAGAGGCUUUUUUGCCACUCACCAGCACAGCCAGAGCAAGGAUGAAGCAAUGAAGUCUAGUCCCCUGGUGGUGCUUGUUUGUCAGAAGUCACGGUGAGCUCAGAACAGGGUGUUCUGUACAUCAACUCGUUUAUUAAUCAAAAAACCCAAAAUGGUGGAUGAAACUCUUAUUGACCUGGGAUAUAAAGCCACUGACUUUGGCUCUUGACCUUUAACUCUUGGUGGAUUUUGAAUCAUUCUUUCUGUAUUAGGGUAUGUGUUAUCACUCUAAAACAUUGUGGUUAAUGAAAUAAAUCUUGUACAGAUGUCCUUGGCCUUGUUAUAUUAUAUACAGACCUUGUACAUAUGCCCUUGGCCUUGAUAUAUGGCUCCCUGAAACUUCCUUAUAAUACAGAACAUUUGAUUUUGCUUACAGUAUAUUCAUAAUCCCUCUGAAAUUAUAACCAAAUCCAGCACAGCUGUUGCCAUAGUUAAUUAGCCUGCAGGGUGAGUGUUGAUCUUGACCUCUGUACCACUGACAAACUCGGUGUGUUACUAUGUAACACAUAGUAUAUACAUAUACACACAUACAUAUAUACAUGUUUUUUAUACAUAUAUAGUACAUACACAUAUAUCGAUGUAUAUGUAUUAAUAGUUUUUCUUUUUUUCUUACACUGGCAUAGUUUCUUUUGUGGCCUUUAAUGAAAAGUUUCAGACUUUGGGGGGGUGUUUUGCAUUUAUUGUACCAUGCUUUCUCUAUAAUCGUGUUUUCUUGCUGUGAAAUUAGUAUCCCCUAGGAUUUUUGUAACUUUAUGAUUUUAGUUUCUCUUGCUGUCUUUUUAGAAGAGUUCCUUUCUUACAGUAUUGUAGGAAUACUGAUUCUCAUCCUUUUUUUUUUUUUACCUUAGCUCUGUUGUAAUGUUAUCUACUUUUUGGUUACUGCAUAUAGUAAAAUUCAGUGACUUUAUCUUUUCUUUUUCUUCACAUUUAAGUCACCUGUCAGGUUUCACUCUCUCCUAACUCCCCAGCCAAGUAGGGUGCUAUUUAAACCCUCUGCCUUUUUUCAACAGAUUUUUUUCAACUGAGUACAAAACUUUUCUAUUAGCAUCAGUUCUGUGUUUGUUUAUGUGGUUUUUGUUUGUUUGUUUUUGUAGAGACAGAGUCUCACUUUAUGGCCCUUGGUAGAGUGCAGUGGCAUCACACAGCUCACAGCAACCUCCAACUCCUGGGCUUAGGUGAUUCUCUUGCCUCAGCCUCCUGAGUAGGUGGGACUACAGGUGCCCCCCACAAUGUCCGGCUAUUUUUUGGUUGCAAUUUGACCGGGGCUAGGUUUGAACCCGCCACCCUCAGUAUAUGGGACGGGCGC